GAUGAACGCUAGCGGCAGGCUUAAUACAUGCAAGUCGAGGGGCAGCAGCUUUGUAGCAAUACAGGGGCUGGCGACCGGCAAACGGGUGCGGAACACGUACGCAACCUUCCUUUAACUGGAAGAUAGCCCACCGAAAGGUGGAUUAAUACUCCAUAACAUAUUGAAGAGGCAUCUCUUUGAUAUUAAAGCUCCGGCGGCUAAAGAUGGGCGUGCGUCUGAUUAGGUAGUUGGCGGGGUAACGGCCCACCAAGCCUUCGAUCAGUAGCUGAUGUGAGAGCAUGAUCAGCCACACGGGCACUGAGACACGGGCCCGACUCCUACGGGAGCAGCAGUAAGGAUAUUGGUCAAUGGACGCAAGUCUGAACCAGCCAUGCCGCGUGGAGGAUGAAGGCCCUCUGGGUUGUAAACUUCUUUUACUUUGGGACGAAACCCCUGUUUCUACGGGGACUGACGGUACCAGAGGAAUAAGCACCGGCUAACUCCGUGCCAGCAGCCGCGGUAAU
rnacentral:rRNA from 1 species